CCUACGUGAGGCAGCAGUGAGGAAUUUUCGUCAAUGGGCGCGAGCCUGAACCAGCCAAGUAGCGUGAAGGAUGACUGCCCUACGGGUUGUAAACUUCUUUUAUAAAGGAAUAAAGUGAGGCACGUGUGCCUUUUUGUAUGUACUUUAUGAAUAAGGAUCGGCUAACUCCGUGCCAGCAGCCGCGGUAAUACGGAGGAUCCGAGCGUUAUCCGGAUAUAUUGGGUUUAAAGGGAGCGUAGAUGGGUUGUUAAGUCAGUUGUGAAAGUGUGCGGCUCAAACGUAAAAUUGCAAUUGAUACUGGCAGUCUUGAGUACAGUAGAGGUAGGCGGAAUUCGAGGUGUAGCGGUAAAAUGCUUAGAUAUCACGAAGAACUCCGAUGGCGAAGGCAGCUUACUAAACUGCCACUGACAUUGAUGCUCGAAAGUGUGGGUAGCAAACAGGAUUAGAUACCCGUGUAGUC
rnacentral:rRNA from 1 species